AAUGCGGAGGAAAAGAAACCAACCGGGAUUGCCUUAGUAACGGCGAGUGAAGCGGCAAAAGCUCAAAUUUGAAAUCUGGUACCUUCGGUGCCCGAGUUGUAAUUUGGAGAGGGCAACUUUGGGGCCGUUCCUUGUCUAUGUUCCUUGGAACAGGACGUCAUAGAGGGUGAGAAUCCCGUGUGGCGAGGAGUGCGGUUCUUUGUAAAGUGCCUUCGAAGAGUCGAGUUGUUUGGGAAUGCAGCUCUAAGUGGGUGGUAAAUUCCAUCUAAAGCUAAAUAUUGGCGAGAGACCGAUAGCGAACAAGUACAGUGAUGGAAAGAUGAAAAGAACUUUGAAAAGAGAGUGAAAAAGUACGUGAAAUUGUUGAAAGGGAAGGGCAUUUGAUCAGACAUGGUGUUUUGUGCCCUCUGCUCCUUGUGGGUAGGGGAAUCUCGCAUUUCACUGGGCCAGCAUCAGUUUUGGUGGCAGGAUAAAUCCAUAGGAAUGUAGCUUGCCUCGGUAAGUAUUAUAGCCUGUGGGAAUACUGCCAGCUGGGACUGAGGACUGCG
rnacentral:rRNA from 1 species